AUAAAAGAUCCUGUUAGUCAGACUGAUGAGUGAUCUACUCAACAAUCAUGAUUUUAAAAUCACUGUCAAUAAUCAUGAUCAUGAAGUUUUCUAUAAUAGAUCAGUCUGAAUGUUGGUGAAGAUGAUGAUGAUGAUGAUGAUGAUGAUGAUGAUGAUGAUGAUGAGAGUCAAAGUGACGCAGCUUUGAGUCUGAGUGUGAGGUCAGUGUUCAACACACACACACACACACACACACAUACACACACACACACACACACACACACACACACACACACACACACACACACACACACACACACACACACACACACACACACACACACCCUGUACAGUUAAUCUUCAUCCUUAUUUUAAUCCAUCUGGGCUCAUUAGUUCACUCUCUCUCCUCUCUCCUCCCUGAUCCUCACUCCUCUUCCUUUGUUUCCUCCUCUCUCCUCCUCCUCUCUCUCCUCACUCCUCUCUCCUCUCUCCUCCUCUCUCCUCCUUCUCCUCCUCCUGGUCUUUGGAGGUUAGACUCUCCUUAAACUCACCCUCAGAAAAGAGAAGCUGAGUCUGAAGAAAC